rnacentral:rRNA from 1 species
AUUGAACGCUGGCGGCAGGCCUAACACAUGCAAGUCGAGCGAGCGGCGGACGGGUGAGUAAUGUAUGGGGCCUGCCCGAUAGAGGGGGAUAACUACUGGAAACGGUUGCUAAUACCGCAUACUAUCGGAUAACCCAUAUGGGAUUAGCUAGUAGGUGGGGUAAAGGCUCACCUAGGCGACGAUCUCUAGCUGGUCUGAGAGGAUGAUAAGCCACACUGGGACUGAGAAACGGCCAAGACUCCUAGGGAGGCAGGAGUGGGGAAUAUUGCACAAUGGGCGAAAGCCUGAUGCAGCCAUGCCGGGUGUAGGAAGAAGGCCUUAGGGUUGUAGAGUACUUUCAGAGGGGAGGCGUUAAAAGCAGAAGAAGCGCCGGCUAACUACUUGCCAGCAGCCGCGGUAAUAC